rnacentral:rRNA from 1 species
UAGGGAAUCUUCCACAAUGGACGCAAGUCUGAUGGAGCAACGCCGCGUGAGUGAAGAAGGUUUUCGGAUCGUAAAGCUCUGUUGUUGGUGAAGAAGGAUAGAGGCAGUAACUGGUCUUUAUUUGACGGUAAUCAACCAGAAAGUCACGGCUAACUACGUGCCAGCAGCCGCUGUAAUACGUAGGUGGCAAGCGUUGUCCGGAUUUAUUGGGCGUAAAGCGAGCGCAGGCGGAAUGAUAAGUCUGAUGUGAAAGCACACGGUUCAACCGAGGAACUGCAUCGGAAGCAGUCAUUCUUGAGUGCAGAAGAGGGGAGUGGAAUUCCAUGUGUGGCGGUGGAAUGCGUAGAUAUAUGGAGGAACACCAGUGGCGAAGGCGGCUCUCUGGUCGGCAACUGACGCUGAGGCUCGAAAGCAUGGGUAGCGAACAAG